GUUUUUUGGCGUUAGGGUUAAAAUUACUGUCCAAAACCUUUGUAGGAACUCUUUUCCAACCUUUUGGAGUUAGUUAGACCAAAAAAUAUGAAAAAAGAAAAAAAUAUUAUUGGGGGUUUUCGGGCUCCCUGAAAGUAAUAACCGGGUAUUAGGUUUUGGGGCUAUGGUAAGGUUUAAGUUUUUUGGCGUUAGGGUUAAAAUCACUGUCCAAAACCUUUGUAGGAACUCUUUUCCAACCUUUUGGAGUUAGUUAGACCAAAAAAUAUGAAAAAAGAAAAAAAAUAUUAUUGGGGGUUUUCGGGCUCCCUGAAAGUAAUACCCGGGUAUUAGGUUUUGGGGCUAUGGUAAGGUUUAAGGUUUUUGGCGUUAGGGUUGAAAUCACUGUCCAAAACCUUUGUAGGAACUCUUUUUCAACCUUUUGGAGUUAGUUAGACCAAAAAAAAAUGAAAAAUGAAAAAAAAAUAUUUGGGGUUUACGGGCUUCCUGAAUGUAAUACCCGGGUAUUAGAUUUUAAGGCUAGGGUAAGGUUUAAGUUUUUUGGCAUUAGGGUUAAAAUCACUGUCCAAAACCUUUGUAGGAACACUUUUCCAACCUUUUGGAGUUGGUUAGACCAAAAAGUAUGAAAAAAGAAAAAAAUAUU